ensembl:snoRNA SNORD58 Small nucleolar RNA SNORD58
CUGCAGUGAUGCCUUUCUUAGGACACCUUUGGAUUUAUCAUGAAAAUUAAUAAAUUCUGAGCAGC